UACGGGGGGUGUAAGCGUUGUUCGGAAUUACUGGGCGUAAAGGGCGUGCAGGCGGCCGCCGCAAGUUGCAUGUGAAAUCCCUGGGCUUAACCCAGGACGUGCGUGCAAGACUGCGGGGCUUGAAUACGGGAGAGGAUCGUGGAAUUCCUGGUGUAGAGGUGAAAUUCGUAGAGAUCAGGAGGAACACUCGUGGCGAAGGCGACGAUCUGGACCGAUAUUGACGCUGAGACGCGAAAGCGUGGGUAGCAAA
rnacentral:rRNA from 1 species